CCUACGGGAGGCAGCAGUGAGGAAUAUUGGUCAAUGGACGAGAGUCUGAACCAGCCAAGCCGCGUGAAGGAUGACUGCCUUAUGGGUUGUAAACUUCUUUUAUAUGGGAAUAAAAUGUUCAAUGUAUGGGUUUUUGUAUGUACCAUAUGAAUAAGGAUCGGCUAACUCCGUGCCAGCAGCCGCGGCAAUACGGAGGAUGCGAGCGUUAUCCGGAUUUAUUGGGUUUAAAGGGAGCGUAGGUGGAUUGUUAAGUCAGUUGUGAAAGUUUGCGGCUCAACCGUAGAAUUGCAGUUGAUACUGGCAGUCUUGAGUCCAGUAGAGGUGGGCGGAAUUCGAGGUGUAGCGGUGAAAUGCUUAGAGAUCACGAAGAACACCGAUGGCGAAGGCGGCUCCCUGGACUGAAACUGACACUGAUGCGCGAAAGUGUGGGGAUCAAACAGGAUUAGAUACCCCUGUAGUC
rnacentral:rRNA from 1 species